GCCGAUGUAGCUCAGUUGGUAGAGCAGCUCAUUCGUAAUGAGAAGGUCAGGAGUUCGAUUCCCCUCAUUGGCACCA
rnacentral:tRNA from 1 species